UUUAUUUCGAAAAAUGACCCUAGCAAGAGGAUUGCUUAACGCAUGGCGUAUUGAGUAGAGUACGAUCUUGCCCAAAUACCAAGUUAAAGUUAACUACCAAUAGCAAUGUAUGUUGUUUUUAGAAUAAAGAAAUAUGCAUAUUUUUUAGACCACCGAUUUUCGGGGAUUAUUACUAGUUUUUAUUAAUUUGAAUCGGCAUCCUUACAAUAAAAUUAUAUCUGCAUAUAAAGUCC